rnacentral:rRNA from 1 species
CCCGCACAAGCGGUGGAGCGUGUGGUUAAUUCGACGCAACGCGGAGAACCUUACCAGGGCUUGACAUCCCCUGACCGCGUAUGAAAGUACGUUUUCACCCUCGGGUGACAGGGAGACAGGUGGUGCAUGGUUGUCGUCAGCUCGUGUCGUGAGAUGUUGGGUUAAGUCCCGCAACGAGCGCAACCCCUACGUUUAGUUGCUAACGCGUGAAGGCGAGCACUCUAGACGAACUGCCGUUGACAAAACGGAGGAAGGUGGGAUGACGUCAAAUCAUCAUGCCCCUUAUGUUCUGGGCUACACACGUGCUACAAUGGCCGGUACAGACGGAGGCGAAGCCGCGAGGCGGAGCAAAUCCGAAAAAGCCGGUCUCAGUUCGGAUUGCAGGCUGCAAUUCGCCUGCAUGAAGUCGGAAUCGCUAGUAAUCGCAGGUCAGCAUACUGCGGUGAAUACGUUCCCGGGCCUU